UCUUCCAGGCAGAGAUCCUGGCCCUGUUUGGACAUCUGAGGGUCAGGACCUGGGCCACCUCUGGGCCAUGACGAGUCGCUUGAGGACCGCCACUCUCCUGGGUAGCUGGAGCUGUUUCCAGUCCGUCCCGCUUCUUGCCUGGGCCUAGCUCCCAGAUGGACCUUCCUGCUGAGUCACACUGCCUGUAGCUGGGGCUGCACAGACAGCCUUCUGUUCCGUGUAUUUUAAUUGCUCUUCCUUCAGAAUGUGCCCGAGGGCCAGUCCUACAUGACUGUUCCCAAGGAGAGGCGCCCAAGGCUCCCUGAGCGGUGACGGGAUCUGGCGAUUAGAUCCUGGGGCUUCCAGUUUGCUCUCCACCCCUUUGGACCCUGAUCCCCAAGGAGACCCUGAGUCCCCUGGGGCCCCGAUCCUUGGAGGACCUAGAGAGGAGGUACCCAGGAGUUCCGAGAGGUUUCCCAUGAUCCCAUUGCAGAGCCAGCUGGAGCAAGGGGAGCCGGCAAACCCAGAGGGCACUCUGGGCUUUUCAGCUGUUGUGGUUCAGGUAGAGCCAGGAAGGUUUGGUGAAAUGACCUUCAGAAUCACAAAGAGCAUGAUGGACGCCGACCUUUUCCAGCAUCGGAUCUCUGUGAGGCUUUCCUUCCAGGCCUUCGGGCCACUGCCUGCCCAGGCCUUCCCAUCUGGUGGCAGCUCUGAGCCAUGUCCCCUGUAGGUUACAGCAGUCUGCCGUGCUGAGAGCUCGCCUCCGCUUCUCUUGCCAUCUUCAAGAUUUCAGUCCAAUACCCAGCUUGUCCCCUUCGGACUAUUGUCCUCAACCCUUGACCUGCUCGUUUUGGGGGAUCGUACAUUGCUUUGAUGGCGUCUCAUUAUUCCUGAAUUUCCCCAGAACCUUGUACAAUUCCAGCCCCACAGAAAAGACUAAAUAAAUACUUCUUAAAUGUACAAAUGAAAAAGCGACGUGAACUCAGAAAAGACUUGUAAGUGAUUGCAUAUGAGAGCUGAGAGAGAAGGAAAAAGAAAACAAAACAUAAACCACUCUCCAGUUUAACAGAGUGAGGGGAAUGGUGGCACAAAGGCCAAUAUUUAAGCCACAGAAGGAAUGGAUUUAGAAGCUCAAUUUGGGACAUAAAGGUUUAAAAAAGUGGUAGAAUAUUAAUGGCAUUAUCCUGUAGGUGGUAGGACAUGUAGAUCUAGAGCUCGGGAGGGAGCUGUAAAUAAAGACCCGGGAG
rnacentral:lncRNA from 1 species